GAACUCAAGGUGGAAGUACCGGAGUACCUGGGGCCGCUGAUGUUUGUGAAACUGCGCAAACGUCACUUCCUUCAGGUUCUGCAGCUGGAUCUCCGUGUAGGGCCCCGGAGCCGGGGACGAGGUCAGGUUCCCUUGUUACCGCUGGGUGGAGGUCGACGGCGUCCUGAGCCUGCCUGAAGGCACCAGGGCGAGAAGAGGCGCUCACCAAAAGUCACUGGCCAAGCCCUCCUCUGGCCUUCUAGGCCGUACUGUGGGCGACGACCCUCGAGGCCUGUUCCAGAAACACCAGGAAGAGGAGCUGGAAGAGAGAAGGAAGUUGUACCGGUGAGCCCUCCUCCCCUGACCCCACGUGAGCUGCUGAUGCUUCCAGCACCCACGCCUGAUUUCCUUCCUGCCCUACAGGUGGGGAAACUUGAAGGAUGGGUUAAUUCUGAAUGUGGCUGGGGCAAAACUAUGUGACCUCCCUGUGGAUGAGCAAUUUCUGGAAGACAAGAGUGUUGACUUUAAGGUUUCGCUGGCCAAAGGGUGAGAGCAAGGGGAGGCUGGGUGAGAGGGAGGUGUCCUGGUCUAGUGGAAGCCAAGGGGCUUAUGGGCUGCACUGCACUGCACUGGACCGGCUCAAGGUCGGUGCCUGUGGCUGUCAUGUUGGAGUCUCAGAAUGAUGCUCAAACCCUUUGCCCCAUUCUGUCCUGAAGGCUGGC
rnacentral:lncRNA from 1 species